CAGGCAGACAAGGGUUGGCAGGUGCAGGCAAAAGGUUUUGUAGUGGCUGCCCUACAUCCCACUGUAGUUACCCACAUCUGCUUCAGGCAGCUGAGAUCAUUUGUGGUGGGAGUUUUUAUAAUCUUUACAACUGCCUGAUUUUCUGUGACCGCCGGCAGUUUUCUCAACCGUUGCUCUUCCCACACUCUCAAAUAUUUUUUAAGCAUCAAGUUCUGCGGAUCAGUUCCUUCCUGCAUGUAAUACCGCCACAGAUCAAGAGGAACUCUACAGGAAGAGCUGUAUUUGAGAAAUUCGCCCAAGGAGCCUCAUCUGAACCUGAACCUGAUUAGAUGACAAGAUCCAGGACUUUGAAGUGAUGAUGCAGAGUGAUGAGACUUGGGGACCUUGAAAAGGGAGGAAUCAAAGAAUCCCAAGUGUCUCAAGCCCGGGCAGGAAACACACAUUAAGGAACAACGUGGAGAGAAAAUGCAGGCCAACUGCUCUGAUGGGGACUCUCAAUAGUCUGGAGAGGGGAUUUCCCCAGGACUACAGCUGUGAUCAAGAAUAACUACAGAGAGCCAGGCGGGAGGUCGUUUGCAAAACCCAACACAGCCUGUAAAAUAAAAUGGAAGACAUAAAAU